rnacentral:rRNA from 1 species
GAAUGGGGCAGCUACACAUGCAAGUCGAGCGCGAAAGUUCCUUCGGGAGCGAGUAGAGCGGCGGACGGGUGAGUAACGCGUGGGAAAUUGCCCAGUAGUGGGGGACAACAACCGGAAACGGUUGCUAAUACCGCAUACGCCCUACGGGGGAAAGCGGGGGAUCUUCGGACCUCGUGCUAUUGGAUAUGCCCGCGUCGGAUUAGCUUGUUGGUGAGGUAACGGCUCACCAAGGCGACGAUCCGUAGCUGGUCUGAGAGGAUGAUCAGCCACACUGGGACUGAGACACGGCCCAGACUCCUACGGGAGGCAGCAGUGGGGAAUAUUGCACAAUGGGCGCAAGCCUGAUGCAGCCAUGCCGCGUGUGUGAAGAAGGCCUUCGGGUUGUAAAGCACUUUCAGUAGGGAGGAAGGCCCUAAAGUUAAUACCUUUGGGGAUUGACGUUACCUACAGAAGAAGCACCGGCUAACUCCGUGCCAGCAGCCGCGGUAAU